rnacentral:tRNA from 1 species
GGGACAAUAGCUCAAUGGUAGAGCAGCUGCCUUUUAAGCAGUUGGUUCGGGGUUCGAGCCCCCGUUGUCCCACCA